GUAAACAUUUCACUGUGAGGUCUACACUGUUGGUUAAGGGCUUGUCAGUAAACAUUUCACUGUGAGGUCUACACUGUUGGUUAAGGGCUUGUCAGUAAACAUUUCACUGUGAGGUCUACACUGUUGGUUAAGGGCUUGUCAGUAAACAUUUCACUGUGAGGUCUACACUGUUGGUUAAGGGCUUGUCAGUAAACAUUUCACUGUGAGGUCUACACUGUUGGUUAAGGGCUUGUCAGUAAACAUUUCACUGUGAGGUCUACACUGUUGGUUAAGGGCUUGUCAGUAAACAUUUCACUGUGAGGUCUACACUGUUGGUUAAGGGCUUGUCAGUAAACAUUUCACUGUGAGGUCUACACUGUUGGUUAAGGGCUUGUCAGUAAACAUUUCACUGUGAGGUCUACACUGUUGGUUAAGGGCUUGUCAGUAAACAUUUCACUGUGAGGUCUACACUGUUGGUUAAGGGCUUGUCAGUAAACAUUU